rnacentral:tRNA from 1 species
GGGCGUGUAGCUCAAUUGGAAGAGCGCCGGACUCUUAAUCCGGAGGCUGAGAGUUCGAUCCUCUCCGCGCCCA